rnacentral:sRNA from 1 species
CUUUAACAAUCUGGAACAAGCUGAAAAUUGAAUACUGUCAAUACGCCCUUUGCAGGGGUAUUGAUGCGUCUCUCAACAUUUUGCACCCCGAGACAGUUUCGG